rnacentral:rRNA from 1 species
GAUGAACGCUGGCGGCGUGCCUAAUACAUGCAAGUCGAGCGAAUGGAUUAAGAGCUUGCUCUUAUGAAGUUAGCGGCGGACGGGUGAGUAACACGUGAGUAACCUGCCCAUAAGACUGGGAUAACUCCGGGAAACCGGGGCUAAUACCGGAUAACAUUUUGAACCGCAUGGUUCGAAAGUGAAAGGCGGCUUGGGCUGUCACUUAUGGAUGGACCCGCGUCGCAUUAGCUAGUUGGUGAGGUAACGGCUCACCAAGGCAACGAUGCGUAGCCGACCUGAGAGGGUGAUCGGCCACACUGGGACUGAGACACGGCCCAGACUCCUACGGGAGGCAGCAGUAGGGAAUCUUCCGCAAUGGACGAAAGUCUGACGGAGCAACGCCGCGUGAGUGGUGAAGGCUUUCGGGUCGUAAAACUCUGUUGUUAGGGAAGAACAAGUGCUAGUUGAAUAAGCUGGCACCUUGACGGUACCUAACCAGAAAGCCACGGCUAACUACGUGCCAGCCGCCGCCGUAA